AUUCAGCUGAAGAGUCCAAAACAAGAAGAAAUGCGCGUGCUGGAU
rnacentral:hammerhead_ribozyme from 1 species